rnacentral:rRNA from 1 species
UGGGGAAUAUUGGACAAUGGGCGAAAGCCUGAUUCAGCCAUGCCGCGUGUGUGAAGAAGGUCUUCGGAUUGUAAAGCACUUUAAGUUGGGAGGAAGGGCAUUAACCUAAUACGUUAGUGUUUUGACGUUACCGACAGAAUAAGCACCGGCUAACUCUGUGCCAGCAGCCGCGGUAAUACAGAGGGUGCAAGCGUUAAUCGGAAUUACUGGGCGUAAAGCGCGCGUAGGUGGUUUGGUAAGUUGGAUGUGAAAUCCCCGGGCUCAACCUGGGAACUGCAUUCAAAACUGACUGACUAGAGUAUGGUAGAGGGUGGUGGAAUUUCCUGUGUAGCGGUGAAAUGCGUAGAUAUAGGAAGGAACACCAGUGGCGAAGGCGACCACCUGGACUAAUACUGACACUGAGGUGCGAAAGCGUGGGGAGCAAACA